UACGUAGGGUGCGAGCGUUGUCCGGAAUUAUUGGGCGUAAAGGGCUCGUAGGCGGUUUGUCGCGUCGGGAGUGAAAACUCAGGGCUUAACCCUGAGCCUGCUUCCGAUACGGGCAGACUAGAGGUAUGCAGGGGAGAACGGAAUUCCUGGUGUAGCGGUGAAAUGCGCAGAUAUCAGGAGGAACACCGGUGGCGAAGGCGGUCCUCUGGGCAUUACCUGACGCUGAGGAGCGAAAGUGUGGGGAGCGAACAGG
rnacentral:rRNA from 1 species